GACGAACGCUGGCGGCGUGCUUAACACAUGCAAGUCGAACGAAGUGGCGAACGGGUGAGUAACGCGUAAUCAACCUGCCCUUCAGAGGGGGACAACAGUUGGAAACGACUGCUAAUACCGCAUACGGAAGGAGGGGAUUGCGUCGGAUUAGCUGGUUGGAGGGGUAACGGCCCACCAAGGCGAUGAUCAGUCGCCGGUUUGGGAGGGUGAACGGGCACAAUGGGAACGGGGCACGGCCCAGACUCCUACGGGAGGCAGCAGUGGGGAAUCUUCCGCCAUGGACGAAAGUCUUGCGGAGCAACGCCGCGUGAGUGAUGACGGCCUUCGGGUUGUAAAGCUCUGUUAAUCGGGACGCGGUACCGGAAUAGAAAGCCACGGCUAACUACGUGCCAGCAGCCGCGGUAAUAC
rnacentral:rRNA from 1 species